AAAAAAAAUAGAUUCUUUUGUAACAACAUCCUAUGAUUCAAAUUCCCACAGAAAAGCUGAACUUUAUAGGGCUGUCAUGAAAUACGUAGCCACAGACACGCGCCCGUUCUCAGUUGUGGAAGAUACUGGCUUUCGCGAGAUGCUGAAUGUUUUUGAUCCCCGGUGCAGUGUUGCCAGUUUAGCAAUUUUAUGGCUAGUUCUAGCCAUUUUGAAAGGCCGAAUGCUAGAAAAAUUAAGAAAUUGCUACUAGCUAUAAAUCUAGCUACUUUAAAAUAAACUUCAGCUAUUUUCGGCAAUUUUCUCGAACCCGUGAUUUAGGUCUGUGAAAAUUACCAGUUACAGCGAAAAUACUCUAUGUGACUUGAGUGAAAAUACUUAUCGAACAGUGAUUUCUACUUUUGACCAUCACUGCUUUGUGUGUUUCAUCUCUAGUUUGUGGUGUACAUUAAGUGACGCAAAAAAAGUGAUGCAAAAAUGCCUAAAGUGCUUUAUACGCAAAAGUUUCGCGAUGCUUGGAUGCAGGCUAGUGAGUUCAAGGCCUGGAUCCGGAAGGAUGAGACGGAUUUGUCAAAAGCUUACUGUAGCUACUGCAAAUGCAGUAUUAAAGCGAAAAUAUUCGAUUUAAGGGCUCAUGCUGAGACGAAGAAGCACAUUUCGGGAUCGAGUUGCUUCAGUCAAACCAACAAAAUUUCGUUCUCUCGGAUGCCUACGAAGCAAACAGAGCAGGAAGCAGCGUUGUGCCUAUUUAUAGCAGAGCACACUGCUAUUGCACAAAUAGACCACCUCAGCAGAUCCAUUUAUUUGACUGGGAGAACAAGGAGGACACUGUCAAAUUUUGGGCAGAAGUGCUGAGCUUUAGGGACUCAGGUGACAACAACCCUUUCAAGUCCUUAGCGCUGUUUGCUAUAAGGCUACUCUGUUUGCCUUGGUCAAAUGCUGAGGUGGAGCGUGUGUUCAGUCAAAUGAACAUAGUAAAAAGUAACCUCAGAAACAGGUUACAUAUAAAAACACUAAAUUCAAUUUUAAAAAUAAGAUACGGCCUGCGCAGAAAUGGAAAAUGCUGCCACAAUUAUGAAGUGCCAACAAAAUUUUUAAAAAUGAUGGCCGAAAAUGAAAAAUAUAACAAUGAAAACAGUGAAGAUGUAGAUUUAAUAAAAUCAUUAUUGGACAUUUAAAUUAAAA